CGGGGUGCAGCAGGCGCGAAAACUUCACAAUGGGAGAAAUCCCGAUGAGGGAAUUCCAAGUGCUAGCACUAUGUGUUAGCUGUUCUUUUGUCUAAAAAACAGAAGAAGUAAGGGCCGGGUAAGACGGGUGCCAGCCGCCGCGGUAAUACCCGCGGCCCGAGUGGUGGUCGAUAUUAUUGAGCCUAAAACGUCCGUAGCCGGUCUUGUAAAUCCUUGGGUAAAUCGGCCAGCUUAACUGUCCGAAGUCCGGGGAGACUGCAAGACUUGGGAUCGGGAGAGGUCAGAGGUACUUCUGGGGUAGGGGUAAAAUCCUGUAAUCCUGGAAGGACCACCGGUGGCGAAGGCGUCUGACUAGAACGAAUUCGACGGUGAGGGACGAAGCCCUGGGGCGCAAACGGGAUUAGAUACCCCGGUAGUCCAGGGUGUAAACGCUGCGGGCUUGGUGUUGGGGGUCCUUUGUGGGCGCCCAGUGCCGGAGAGAAGUUGUUAAGCCUGCUGCUUGGGGAGUACGUCCGCAAGGAUGAAACUUAAAGGAAUUGGCGGGGGAGCAC
rnacentral:rRNA from 1 species